GCUUGAUUGAUCUCCUCUUGGUGUUGGCAUUUCUCUUGUGACGACGCCUCAUUGUAGUGGUCUCACAUAUGGUUUCUAAGUGAGGGUUGAAAUCAGUAGAUGAGUCAUCGCUUGAGAAAUCGUAACAGCUUCUGGAAGAUGAAACUAAAGAUUCAGUUUCCUCUUCAUUAUUAUCCCAAUCAGUAUUAGUACCGCUUAAUAUCCCGCUGUACUCAUCAGCUGAGGAAGUACUCAUUCGGAUGAUUCUACUUUUUGUUUUCGUUUUUUUAACUCGCUGUUGUUUCUUCUUCUUCUUCUCAACAACAAUUCUACUGAAUCGCGGAGGUGUAAGAGGAGGUCGUAAGGCCAAAUUGAUCUCCUCUUCACAUUCUUCUUCUUCAGACACGAAGGAACUAGAAACCACGUGAAACUUCUCUUCUUUCUCCCACUUGAAUUCUGAUCUACAACACCCAACGGAGAUCAUCGUGGAUUCUGGCACGUAAUUACGGUGAUUUUGAUUUUGAUUUUGAUCAAUAAGAGGGAAAUCGGGGGAAAUGUGUUUUGUACUAGUGAGCUUAUGUGGGAAGAAAUUAGGAUUUUGGGGAAGAGAAGAAGGGUUUUUCGAACGGCACGAAUUGAAAGAAGCAAUAACUCUGGAGAACCG
rnacentral:misc_RNA from 1 species